AUUGAACGCUGGCGGCAGGCCUAACACAUGCAAGUCGAGCGGAGCGGCGGACGGGUGAGUAAUGCAUAGGAAGGUGCCUGGUAGUGGGGGAUAACUUCCGGAAAGGGGCGCUAAUACCGCAUACUAUUGGAGGAGCCUAGGUGGGAUUAGCUAGUUGGUGGGGUAAAGGCUCACCAAGGCGACGAUCCGUACCUGGUCUGAGAGGAUGAUCAGUCACACUGGGACUGAGACACGGUCCAGACUCCUACGGGAGGCAGCAGUGGGGAAUAUUGGACAAUGGGCGAAAGCCUGAUCCAGCCAUGCCGCGUGUGUGAAGAAGGUCUUCGGAUUGUAAAGCACUUUAAGUUGGGAGGCGUUACCAACAGAAUAAGCACCGGCUAACUACGUGCCAGCCGCCGCGGUAAUAC
rnacentral:rRNA from 1 species